rnacentral:rRNA from 1 species
GACGAACGCUGGCGGCGUGCUUAACACAUGCAAGUCGAACGGAAAGGCCCUGCUUGCAGGGUACUCGAGUGGCGAACGGGUGAGUAACACGUGGGUGAUCUGCCCUGCACUUCGGGAUAAGCCUGGGACACUGGGUCUAAUACCGGAUAGGAGCCAUUUUUAGUGUGAUGGUUGGAAAGUUUUUUCGGUGUAGGAUGAGCUCGCGGCCUAUCAGCUUGUUGGUGGGGUAAUGGCCUACCAAGGCGGCGACGGGUAGCCGGCCUGAGAGGGUGGACGGCCACAUUGAGACUGAGAUACGGCACAGACGCCUACGGGAGGCAGCAGUGGGGAAUAUUGCACAAUGGGCGCAAGCCUGAUGCAGCGAAGCCGCGUGGGGGAUGACGGACUUCGGGUUGUAAACUCCUUUCGCUAGGGACGAAGCGUUUUGUGACGGUACCUAGACAAGAAGCACCGGCUAACUACGUG